rnacentral:tRNA from 1 species
GGGGGUAUGGCGGAAUUGGUAGACGCUACGGACUUAAAAUCCGUUGGCUUUAUUGACCAUGAGGGUUCAAGUCCCUCUAUCCCCAC